UAGCCAGCCUUGAAGAUGGUCCCCAAGGGUCCCCACUGCCUGGUAGUCCCACCCUUGUGUAAUGUUUCCCUUUUCCCCACCAUACCAGCAUUGGUCCAUGUAAUAAAUGCAGUAUGGCACAUUCCCACGUUACCUUUUGAAUCACUCACUCAUGAGAAAACCAGUUACUCUAUUGUGAGAACAUCAGGCUGCAAAUGGAGAGGCCCACAACAGGAGGUACUGGGGCCUCUAGCAGCCACCUGAAUGAACUUGGAAGCAGAUUCUUCCCCAGUGGAGCCUUAAUAGGACUGCAGCCCCAGUCAAUAGCUUGACUGGCACCUGGUGAGAAGCUCUGAGCCAGAAUCAUCCAGCUACAUUCCUCUCAGAUCCCCAACAUACAGAAGCUGUGAGGUAUAUAGCUGCCAUCUUCUCUUCCAUAAAGUAAUCCGCAGGAGGUGGAUCAUAGAAGAUGUUGCUUUGAUUUAUAAAACAACAUAAUUCUUAAUGUACAUGUGCCCAACAACAAAUCAUCAAAAUAUGAAAGAAAAAAACUAAUAGAACUGCAAGGAGAAGUUCACAUAUCCACUGUUACAUGACUUGAGUGCCUUUUAUCAGAAAUCGACAAAAGGAGCAGAAGGAACUUCAGUAAGACAUAGUUGAACUCAACAGCACCAUUAAACAACUAUAUGUUAUUGACAGCUAUAGAUUGCUUCAUCCAACAACAGAAAAUUAUAUGUUAUUUCAAGCUCACAUGAACCAUUCAUCAAGAUAGAAAACAUCCUGGGUUAUAAAACAUACCAUAAGGUAUUUAAAAGAAUAGAGCACAUAUAAUGCCUGCUCUCAUGCCAUAGAGGGAUUGGACUAGAAAUCAAUAACAGAAAGAUAAUUAGAAAAUCACAACAAAAAUUUCAAGAGAAAUGUUUAAAAAUAUUUGGAACUAAAUGAAAGUGAAAACAACUUACAAAAAUCUGUAGAAUGCAGCAGAAGAAAUGCUUAGAGGGAAUCUUGUAGUAUUGAAAGCAUGAAUUCAGUUCAGUUCAGUCACU